AAUACAUAUAUUAAAAAUUAUGAAUUUCAUAAAAGUUUUAGCAGUGACAUUUUCUUUAAUUAUGAUUUUUAUAGCAAAUAGUAAUGUAAGUGGUAAGGUGAACUUAAAAUGUCCAUUAGAAUGUGCAAAGACAUGUUUUGCUGAUCCUGCUUGCAUAGCACUUUGCUUGAAGGAUUGUGUUGCUUGUACAUCAUUCAAUUGUAAGUUUGCUUGUUCAAUGGAACGUUGCUCCAAAUUUAAAGAAGAUGAUGAGCUAAUGGGCAGCUGCUGGAAUGAAUGUGGAACAAAAGAAUGCACCUAAUUAGAAAGACAUGUACUAUUAUGCUACUUGUUUAGCUAAAGCUAACUAGAAGAGCAACUUGAUGAAUCAAAUGUAAUCAAAAUUUAUGUUGUUAAUAAAGUACUAUUUUUGAAGCA